rnacentral:rRNA from 1 species
UACGGAGGAUCCGAGCGUUAUCCGGAUUUAUUGGGUUUAAAGGGUGCGCAGGCGGGGGAUUAAGUCGGCGGUGAAAUUUUGCAGCUCAACUGUAAAAGUGCCUUCGAAACUGGUUUCCUUGAGUGUAGAUGAAGUAGGCGGAAUUUGUGGUGUAGCGGUGAAAUGCAUAGAUAUCACGAGGAACUCCGAUUGCGCAGGCAGCUUACUAAACUACUACUGACGCUCAGGCACGAAGGCGUGGGGAUCAAACAGGAUUAGAUACCCCCGUAGUCCCU